UGGGGAAUAUUGCACAAUGGAGGAAACUCUGAUGCAGCGACGCCGCGUGAGUGAAGAAGUAUUUCGGUAUGUAAAGCUCUAUCAGCAGGGAAGAAAGACUCGAAAGAGAGAUGACGGUACCUGACUAAGAAGCCCCGGCUAACUACGUGCCAGCAGCCGCGGUAAUACGUAGGGGGCAAGCGUUAUCCGGAUUUACUGGGUGUAAAGGGAGCGUAGACGGAAAGGCAAGUCUGAUGUGAAAGCCCGGGGCUCAACCCCGGGACUGCAUUGGAAACUGUCUAUCUAGAGUACAGGAGGGGUGAGCGGAAUUCCUAGUGUAGCGGUGAAAUGCGCAGAUAUUAGGAAGAACACCGGCGGCGAAGGCGGCUCACUGGACUGUAACUGACGUUGAGGCUCGAAAGCGUGGGUAGCAAACAGGAUUAGAUACCCUGGUA
rnacentral:rRNA from 1 species